AGAGCACUACGUUGACAUCGUAGGGGUCACAAGUUCGAAUCUUGUCGCGCCCACCA
rnacentral:tRNA from 1 species